rnacentral:rRNA from 1 species
CCUACGGGUGGCAGCAGUGGGGGAUAUUGCACAAUGGAGGAAACUCUGAUGCAGCGACGCCGCGUGAGGGAAGACGGUCCUCGGAUUGUUAACCUCUGUCUUUGGGGAAGAAAAUGACGGUACCUAAAGAGGAAGCACCGUCUAACAACGUGCCAGAAGCUGCGGUAAUAUGUCGGGAGCCGGCGUUGUCCGGAGGUACUGGGUGUAAGGGGAGCGUAGGCGGGCGAGAAAGUUGAAUGUUAAAUCUACCGGCUUAACUGGUAGCUGCGUUCCAAACUGCUUGUCUUGAGUGAAGUAGAGGCAGGCGGAAUUCCUAGUGUAGCGGUGAAAUGCGUAGAUAUUACGAGGAACACCAGUGGCGAAGGCGGCCUGCUGGGCUUUAACUGACGCUGAGGCUCGAAAGCGUGGGGAGCGAACAGGAUUAGAUACCCGAGUAGUC